AAUAAAGAUAAAGUUAUGUAUUAUUAAUAUUAAAAACAAAUUAAUAUUUUGUUUAUUAAGUUAUUUUACACAAAACUUACCGAUAACGCUCAUAAUUGACUAUAUUUCUGUAAAAUUAAUAUUUAUAAAAAGCAGCUUGUCGUAGAAAGCACUUCUAUGAUCUUUUUACUUGAAAAGGUUACAUUAAAAGAAACAAUCUAGAAUCAAUUUUUGUUAGUAAGUACGUUCAUUUUACAUAGCGUAUUAAUAAUGUUAUAAUCAUAACAUUUAUAAUGUACAUUAAUUUGAUUUAAUUUUGUUGUCAAACAUAAAUGAUUAUUUAAGAAAAGGAUAUAUAAUCCUUCUUGGAUAGAUGCUGGAAAAUAAGAUGUAAAUGUCGUAGUCGUGGGCGUAGGGUAAGACAGAAAAAUGUUUACAUAAAUAAUACGAAAAAAAUAUUGUUUUUACGUCUUUCUAUUUUAUGUUUUUUUUUAUUCUAUAUCCACAUGCAACUACGACACUCACUCUGCCAUAAAUUUUCUAGACGAUCUUUAUUACGUAUUGUAAUUUAUAUCAAUCUUAAAUAAUUAUUUAAUGCAAUAAAUCUUAUUUUACUUAAGGUACUUACCAUUAAGAUAUUACUAACUUAUGAAUUAUUACACGUGAUUACGUAGACAUUAGAUACUAUAAAAAUGUGACACAGUAAUCGAACGUCCGAGUACGCACAUACAAGAACAUGCUCGCCGUGUCUAGCGUCUGCUCAACUGUGUUCAACGUACAUACUACAUGCGCAGAAAGAUUUGGCAUCGAGCUGCGACUAUGGAGGGGAAAAAGAACUAAUGGCAACAACCAAUCUUCUUCUUCCUCCGUCCACAGCCGCGGCUUGGUGCCAAAUCUUCAAAACUGUAGCGUUGUACACGUGAGACGUGAGUGCGUACACAGCGAGCACGUGCUUUGACGUGCUUGCAUGUGUAAACUACGACGCGAAUUCAUCGCAGGACAAUUUCUGGGACGCGCAAUACGUCACGGGGACACGAUGCACGCUGACUGAGAUCGCACGGGUUCCUCGCGAGUGAGAAAAAGAGAAAGAGAGAGGAGUGAGCGAAGAAGAGAAGGAAGGAAAAAAGAGAAAAAACGAAGCGGGGAGGGGAAACGCGAGAGUAACAGAAGUGCGUGUGGCCGGUGUGGCGGUUGACCUGCCGCCACAUGCAGGACAGCCUUCCCCCCCUCCCCCUUAGGAUUUCUCUCGACUUGCAUUUACACUCCGUCGCCAAGAAAAUAAUUAAGGUAAACUUUUGUCGGAUAAUGCAUUAGGGCUCUAGAUAACCUUUCGAGUUACACUGCUUUAGUUCGUGUUGACGCUUAUCCGAGCCUCUUGUUUUGUAUACAGCAAUGCCUACAUUUUUUCUUACCUUUUUUUUAAUGACAAUGUUUUAAUAUAAUAUUUGUAAGUAUCGAGCUUUUUUGUAUGUACAGGUAAAGUUCUUGAAUAAAUGCAUUGUGUUAAUUUUAUGAUUAAUAUGAAGUGAAGAUGAUUAUAAAUGCAAAAGAUACUUACAUUGAUUAAUCUUAUUUAAUUUUUUACGUAUUUUUACUCUAAAGGUUAUUUAUGAUAUAAAUGUGUAUUAUGUGAAUGUUGAUCUGAAUAAUUUAAUAACUUUAUCUUUUUUUUUAUUGUCAGGAAAGCAGAAUGGGUUUCAGCCAACAGUUUGCUUAGAUGAAACAACUACUUGAAACACAUCACCUGUGCUUGAACGCAAGAGUUUCAACAUAAGAGUUAAUGUACACUUGUUUAAUUAAAAAUUCUGUUCAAUAAGAAAAAUCGAAAUAUUGUGCCACUUUUUUAUGAGAUCUAAUGUUAAUAUAGUCAUUUAGUUCUGCAUAGGCUUGUUUAGCAGUAUAUUAAUGACAAGAAGAUUUUAAAGUGCUUUAGUCUAGCAACAUUAUCUCACAGUAUAUUUAACAUGUAUAAACCGAUUUUCAGGAAUUCAUGAACAAUUAUUGGUAAGAAAUUUAUCUUUUAUAUAAUGAUAUAUGAAUACUUUUAUAGAAUAUUUUGUUUAGAGUAAAUAAUUUAAUAUUAAAAUUUGCAUGAAAAUAUUGUUGUAUCCCUCGUCUCGGGAUACAGUGCGGGAUCGCUGCCGAUGACUCCUCGGGAUCAGGUUUCCAAAAGAUAACGCCGAGAGUUAAUAACAAGAGAUAUAUAUUUAUUCUUCCUCUACACUUUCUUGAUCGAACCCGAAAGAUGUAUAUCUAAGUACAGUUGGUAGCUUCGACUAGCGACAUAUACUCGUCGCUAUUAUUAUUAAUUAUGAGCCCGCUCGUUCUCUUUCCGCGGGCCUUUAUAUACUCAGCUUUUUGGCUUGUUACCAAGGGAUGUCACUCGCAGUCACGGGCCUUCGUCCCGUGCACUAGCUUAGCCAGCAAUUGCUAGCUAGGCGCAUUCCAUCGGAAAUCAGGAGAUUUCGGGUGGCAAAAUGAGUAGUAACCGGAUAUGUUGUCCGGUGCGAUGUCCAGUGUGAAGGCCGGUGCGAUGCCCGGUAGCAAGGCCGGACGGUGAUAUUACGCGAGGUGUCACUCGACACCCUUAUCGUUAUUGCAAGUAAAGUUUGUGUGAGUGUCGCGCACUCACAACAAUAUAUAUAUAUUUAUGAUAAAUAAUGAUAAAUAUAUAUUUAUCACUAUACUUAAACAUUAAGGCAACGGCAAUCUCGUUUUAAAAACAAAGUCAUAUUAUAAUCUUAAAAAUGUUAAUUUUAUUAAAAAAAGAUUUUCUUAAUUCUAUUGAAAGUAGUAUAU
rnacentral:lncRNA from 1 species